rnacentral:rRNA from 1 species
GAUGAACGCUGGCGGCGUGCCUAAUACAUGCAAGUCGAGCGAACGGACGAGAAGCUUGCUUUUCUGAUGUUAGCGGCGGACGGGUGAGUAACACGUGGAUAACCUACCUAUAAGACUGGGAUAACUUCGGGAAACCGGAGCUAAUACCGGAUAAUAUUUUGAACCGCAUGGUUCAAAAGUGAAAGACGGUCUUGCUGUCACUUAUAGAUGGAUCCGCGCUGCAUUAGCUAGUUGGUAAGGUAACGGCUUACCAAGGCAACGAUGCAUAGCCGACCUGGGAGGGUGAUCGGCCACACUAGAACUGAGACACGGUCCAGACUCCUACGGGAGGCAGCAGUAGGGAAUCUUCCGCAAUGGGCGAAAGCCUGACGGAGCAAAGCCGCGUGAGUGAUGAAGGUCUUCGGAUCGUAAAACUCUGUUAUUAGGGAAGAACAUAUGUGUAAGUAACUGUGCACAUCUUGACGGUACCUAAUCAGAAAGCCACGGCUAACUACGUG